UUAAUUUUUGGAGUUUUAUUUAAUGUCGGGAGCUCCCAUCUUGCCAUGUCUUUAGCUGAGGCCACUUCGUGGAUUGUAAUGUAAUUAGGUAACACCCAAACAGAGAAUGGCAGUUCCACUGAGCUAAUGAGGCAGAGACAAGAGUUUAAUGCUACUGAAGCAGCUUUCACACGGUGAACCAGGGACUGGAAAGGAGAGAGAUGAGGGUAAAGACACAGGCAUAGGACUUCUCCACAGGUUUUUGUUCAAGACUUAGCCUGCAUUUUUGUAGAAUAAACUUUGCAAUGUCUAGUAG
rnacentral:lncRNA from 1 species